AUAAUCCUGCGGUGUGCGUAAGUUCCUGUGUAUAAACCCACAGAGUAACUACGGGAGCGCAAUUGCCGAGGCGGAUGUCGAGCCGGCCUGACCGGAUGGCAGCAAACCAACAGAGCGCACCCACCUGCCGAGAGGCGGGUGUUAUAUAGGGAGCGACGGCAUCUUGGGAUUAUC
rnacentral:other from 2 species